rnacentral:rRNA from 1 species
GAUGAACGCUGGCGGCGUGCCUAAUACAUGCAAGUCGAGCGAACAGACGAGGAUUUUGCUCCUCUGACGUUAGCGGCGCACGUGUGUGUAACACGUGGAUACCCUACCUAUAUGUCUGGGAUAACUUCGGGAACCCGGAUCUAAUCCGGUAUAAUAUAUUGAACCACAUGGUUCAAUAGUGAAAGUCGGUUUUGCUGUCACUUCUAGAUGGUUCCGCGCCGCAUUGGUUAGUUGGUAAGGUAACGGCUUACCAAGGCAACGAUGCGUAGCCGACCUGAGAGGCUGAUCGGCCACACUGGAACGGAGACACGGUCCAGACUCCUACGGGAGGGAGCAGUAGGGAAUCUUCGGCAAUGGGCGAAAGCCUGACGGAGCAACGCGGCGUCUGUGAUGAAGGUCUUGGGAUCGUAAAACUCUGUUAUUAGGGAAGAACAACUGUGUAAGUUACUGUGCAGGUCGUGACGGUACCUGAUCAGGAAGCCACGGCUAACUACGUG